rnacentral:rRNA from 1 species
GACCCGAGAGGGUGAUCGGCCACACUGGAACUGAGACACGGUCCAGACUCCUACGGGAGGCAGCAGUAGGGAAUCUUCCGCAAUGGGCGAAAGCCUGACGGAGCAACGCCGCGUGAGUGAUGAAGGUCUUCGGAUCGUAAAACUCUGUUAUCAGGGAAGAACAAAUGUGUAAGUAACUGUGCACAUCUUGACGGUACCUGAUCAGAAAGCCACGGCUAACUACGUGCCAGCAGCCGCGGUAAUACGUAGGUGGCAAGCGUUAUCCGGAAUUAUUGGGCGUAAAGCGCGCGUAGGCGGUUUUUUAAGUCUGAUGUGAAAGCCCACGGCUCAACCGUGGAGGGUCAUUGGAAACUG